rnacentral:snRNA from 1 species
AUACUUACCUGGCAGGAGAGAUACCAUGAUCACGAAGGUGGUUUUCCCAGAGCGAGGCUUAUCCAUUGCACUCCGGAUGUGCUGACCCCUGCGAUUUCCCCAAAUGUGGGAAACUCGACUGCAUAAUUUGCGGUAGUGGGGGACUGCGUUCGCGCUUUCCCCUG